UCUCGAUUGGUCUAGUGGUAAGGAUACCUGCUUGUCAUUCCGUCCGUUAUUAGGUUCGCAGGUGGCCGGGGUUCGAUUCCCCGAUCGAGAG